AACGAACGCUGGCGGCAUGCCUAACACAUGCCAGUCGAACGAGACCUUCGGGUCUAGUGGCGCACGGGUGCGUAACGCGUGGGAACCUGCCCUUAGGUUCGGAAUAACUCCCCGAAAGGGGUGCUAAUACCGGAUAAUGUCUUCGGACCAAAGAUUUAUCGCCUUUGGAUGGGGCCGCGUUGGAUUAGCUAGUUGGUAGGGUAAAAGCCUACCAAGGCGACGAUCCAUAGCUGGUCUGAGAGGAUGAUCAGCCACACUGGGACUGAGACACGGCCCAGACUCCUACGGGAGGCAGCAGUGGGGAAUAUUGGACAAUGGGCGAAAGCCUGAUCCAGCAAUGCCGCGUGAGUGAUGAAGGCCUUAGGGUUGUAAAGCUCUUUUACCCGGGAUGAUAAUGACAGUACCGGGAGAAUAAGCUCCGGCUAACUCCGUG
rnacentral:rRNA from 1 species